AAAUAUUAUGUGGUCCACCAUGCGACCAGCGCACUGGUUUCAUUAAUGAGGUUCUUGGCAUAAAAGUUAGCUAGCGAGAUCGAAAUAAAACACACAGACUCAGUUACCUUUUUCUAUGACCAGGUCCGAGAGGGCUCCCCUCUCUGGUUCUCACCUCGAACCACCCGGUAGGGCAGCAAGGAUUACUGAGGGCUAGCAGGAGAGAGAGAGAGGGAGCACGCCAGGGAGUAGCCUUUUAUUGGGGAACAAGAAAUUCAGGGGAGAAUUCCAUCCAAUGAAGGUUGAGGGGGGCCGCACUCCAAAGUCAGGGUCAGUGAUUGGCCCCCGGGGUCAGUGGUCAGUCACACCCCCACACGGACAGGCUCUCUCAUCAGGAGAGGGCCGGGAAAGCUCCGACACAGAUUAGCCAGAGC
rnacentral:lncRNA from 1 species